rnacentral:rRNA from 1 species
AACGAACGCUGGCGGCAUGCCUAACACAUGCAAGUCGAACGAGACCUUCGGGUCUAGUGGCGCACGGGUGCGUAACGCGUGGGAACCUGCCCUUAGGUUCGGAAUAACUCCCCGAAAGGGGUGCUAAUACCGGAUAAUGUCUUCGGACCAAAGAUUUAUCGCCUUUGGAUGGGCCCGCGUUGGAUUAGCUAGUUGGUAGGGUAAAAGCCUACCAAGGCGACGAUCCAUAGCUGGUCUGAGAGGAUGAUCAGCCACACUGGGACUGAGACACGGCCCAGACUCCUACGGGAGGCAGCAGUGGGGAAUAUUGGACAAUGGGCGAAAGCCUGAUCCAGCAAUGCCGCGUGAGUGAUGAAGGCCUUAGGGUCGUAAAGCUCUUUUACCCGGGAUGAUAAUGACAGUACCGGGAGAAUAAGCUCCGGCUAACUCCGG